CGGACGGACGAACUGACGGAUGGACGGACGGUCAGACAGAGGUAACACAGUAUACUCCCCACUUUUUCGAAGCGGCGGUAUAAUGAUUGCAUGGGUCAACAUUAAGACAUGACAAUACUAAUUUAUAUUUUAUUUCACCAUAAGCCUCAGUCACAAUAUGAGCCAAAACAAAAUAGGAAAAAAAAAGAACUAACACAUUGAUAUGAAACAACAGUCAGUAUCAAGACCUG
rnacentral:lncRNA from 1 species